rnacentral:misc_RNA from 1 species
CCAAAGAUGGCGGCCUCCGGGCCCCGUCCCCAACCCAUUGUUGACCAACACCUUUUUGCCUCGGGGGCAGAGCGUCCGUCGCCGCCCCCGGAGGACCACCGAACGCUGUCUCUGUACGUCGGAGUAUUAAUGAAAUGAAUGA